UCCUCAGUAGCUCAGUUGGUCAGAGCACCUGACUGUUAAUCAGGGUGUCGCUGGUUCGAAUCCAGCCUGGGGAG
rnacentral:tRNA from 3 species